UACGUAGGGUGCAAGCGUUGUCCGGAAUUAUUGGGCGUAAAGAGCUCGUAGGCGGUUUGUCGCGUCUGCUGUGAAAAUCCAGGGCUUAACCCUGGACCUGCAGUGGGUACGGGCAGACUGGAGUGCGGUAGGGGAGAUCGGAAUUCCUGGUGUAGCGGUGAAAUGCGCAGGUAUCAGGAGGAACACCGGUGGCGAAGGCGGAUCUCUGGGCCGUAACUGACGCUGAGGAGCGAAAGCGUGGGGAGCGAACAGG
rnacentral:rRNA from 1 species